rnacentral:rRNA from 1 species
GGAGGACGGUGGAAUGAGCGGCGGACGGGUGAGUAACACGUAAAGAACCUGCCCAUAGGUCUGGGAUAACCACGAGAAAUCGGGGCUAAUACCGGAUGUGUCAUCGGACCGCAUGGUCCGUUGAUGAAAGGCGCUUUGGCGUCGCCCAUGGAUGGCUUUGCGGUGCAUUAGCUAGUUGGUGGGGUAACGGCCCACCAAGGCGACGAUGCAUAGCCGACCUGAGAGGGUGAUCGGCCACACUGGGACUGAGACACGGCCCAGACUCCUACGGGAGGCAGCAGUAGGGAAUCUUCCACAAUGGACGAAAGUCUGAUGGAGCAACGCCGCGUGAACGAUGAAGGCUUUCGGGUCGUAAAGUUCUGUUGUAAGGGAAGAACAAGUGCCGCAGGCAAUGGCGGCACC